rnacentral:rRNA from 1 species
UAGCUAGUUGGUGAGGUAAUGGCCCACCAAGGCGACGAUCGGUAGCCGGACUGAGAGGUUGAACGGCCACAUUGGGACUGAGACACGGCCCAGACUCCUACGGGAGGCAGCAGUGGGGAAUAUUGCACAAUGGGGGAAACCCUGAUGCAGCGACGCCGCGUGGAGGAAGAAGGUCUUCGGAUUGUAAACUCCUGUUGUUGAGGAAGAUAAUGACGGUACUCAACAAGGAAGUGACGGCUAACUACGUGCCAGCAGCCGCGGUAAAACGUAGGUCACAAGCGUUGUCCGGAAUUACUGGGUGUAAAGGGAGCGCAGGCGGGCGAUCAAGUUGGAAGUGAAAUCCAUGGGCUCAACCCAUGAACUGCUUUCAAAACUGAUUGUCUUGAGUAGUGCAGAGGUAGGCGGAAUUCCCGGUGUAGCGGUGGAAUGCGUAGAUAUCGGGAGGAACACCAGUGGCGAAGGCGGCCUACUGGGCACCAACUGACGCUGAGGCUCGAAAGUGUGGGUAGCAAACAGGAUUAGAUACCCUGGUAGUCCACACCGUAAACGAUGAUUACUAGGUGUUGGAGGAUUGACCCCUUCAGUGCCGCAGUUAACACAAUAAGUAAUCCACCUGGGGAGUACGACCGCAAGGUUGAAACUCAAAGGAAUUGACGGGGGCCCGCACAAGCAGUGGAGUAUGUGGUUUAAUUCGACGCAACGCGAAGAACCUUACCAAGUCUUGACAUCCUGCGACGAUGCUAGAAAUAGUAUUUUCCUUCGGGACGCAGAGACAGGUGGUGCAUGGUUGUCGUCAGCUCGUGUCGUGAGAUGUUGGGUUAAGUCCCGCAACGAGCGCAACCCUUGUGGUCAGUUACUACGCAAGAGGACUCUGGCCAGACUGCCGUUGACAAAACGGAGGAAGGUGGGGAUGACGUCAAAUCAUCAUGCCCUUUAUGACUUGGGCUACACACGUACUACAAUGGCGUUAAACAAAGAGAAGCAAGACCGCGAGGUGGAGCAAAACUCAGAAACAACGUCCCAGUUCGGACUGCAGGCUGCAACUCGCCUGCACGAAGUCGGAAUUGCUAGUAAUCGUGGAUCAGCAUGCCACGGUGAAUACGUUCCCGGGCCUUGUACACACCGCCCGUCACACCAUGAGAGCCGGGGGGACCCGAAGUCGGUAGUCUAACCGCAAGGAGGACGCCGCCGAAGGUAAAACUGGUGAUUGGGGUGAAGUCGUAACAAGGUAGCCGUACUAGUACGGGGUUCG